GUGCUUAUACAUACAAUGGAAAUUCGGUCUGCAUAAAAUGUAUCGCAUAAGAAUGAGACACAAAUUUAAUGUAUCAAAUGGAAAUGGUAUGAAUGAAAAUUACUCUGCAUGCAAAUGCGCAGUUACGUUAGAGAAGGAAAGUAGCCGUAGGUCUUAGGUACGUUUUAUUUGCGGUUGCGCAAAAACAAAACAGCUGUUAUUGAUUGUUACUUACAUCGAACGUGUAAAUGGAUUAAUUAAUACGUUCAUCAAUUUUGAGAAGGCAAGGGAUUUAUUGGGUUAUUUUCUGUCGGUCACACGUGACCUUUACAGUUUUUACGUACAUAUUCGGAUUUGCACCUGCUGCGCAAUAUUGUUUAAUAUAAAGCAAGAAAAAGGCCGAUGGAAAUCGAAAGAUGUGCAAGAGGCGCCGGGUCCCCUUAACAAUAAAUUGGAGGUGUACGCUGUCGCUAUAAAAAUAGGUAAUCUCAAAUUUCACUUAUUCUUACCUGUAAUGCAAAUUGAGUGAACAGUUACAGGUUCGUGGGAAUUAAUAAUGGAUAAAGAGUCCAGAGAUAAACCGUUAAUGGAACGAAGCUCAUGUUCUACGACUCUUGUAAGGAACAAGCACAUCGACAAGUUGAUGCUCCUUCGUAAUGGAAAUUGUGUCGAGUUCAAUCGUGAUAUAUCUACUAACACGAUAAGUUAAAUAUGUAAUCUCCAUUGAAUGAGAGAUUUGUAUAUUUACAAGAUGCUAAUACAUGUACCUGUGUAGAAACACGAGCAUGUGAGACAUUGUUAGACACGUAUCUCGUUCUGUUUGAUGGGUGCACCGUAGUAUGUAAACGAUGACGUCGCUAACAAAGUUACACAAAGAUUGUCAAAAAAAAUUUGUAUCCUGAUAAUUAAACGAUUAUCCUAUUCGUCA